GCUCAAUUUGAAAUCUGGCACCUUCGGUGUCCGAGUUGUAAUUUGAAGAAGGUAACUUUGGAGUUGGCUCUUGUCUAUGUUCCUUGGAACAGGACGUCACAGAGGGUGAGAAUCCCGUGCGAUGAGAUGCCCAAUUCUAUGUAAAGUGCUUUCGAAGAGUCGAGUUGUUUGGGAAUGCAGCUCUAAGUGGGUGGUAAAUUCCAUCUAAAGCUAAAUAUUGGCGAGAGACCGAUAGCGAACAAGUACAGUGAUGGAAAGAUGAAAAGAACUUUGAAAAGAGAGUGAAAAAGUACGUGAAAUUGUUGAAAGGGAAGGGCUUGAGAUCAGACUUGGUAUUUUGCGAUCCUUUCCUUCUUGGUUGGGUUCCUCGCAGCUUACUGGGCCAGCAUCGGUUUGGAUGGUAGGAUAAUGACUAAGGAAUGUGGCUCUACUUCGGUGGAGUGUUAUAGCCUUGGUUGAUACUGCCUGUCUAGACCGAGGACUGCGUCUUUUGACUAGGAUGUUGGCAUAAUGAUCUUAAGCCACCCGUCUUG
rnacentral:rRNA from 1 species